rnacentral:rRNA from 1 species
AACUUUCAGCAAUGGAUGUCUUGGGUCACCCAUCCAUGAAGGACGCAGGAAGAUGCGAUAGGCAUUGUAAAUUGCAGAUUUUAGUGAACCAUCAGAUUUCUGAACGCAUAAUGGCGCUUCUGGGAUUUUCCCCGUAGCACCUCUGUUUCAGUGUCU